rnacentral:lncRNA from 1 species
ACCAAAUCCCCUGUACACAUAUAGUGACUCAGAGGAUGAGUAGCCCACAAAAAAACGGUUUCCCCAGGCACCUCGAGUGAAAAUACCAGCCCUCACCACUCCGCAGUCUUCCCCCCAGCCCACUGACAGCAGGCAUCAUAAUGCCCCUCCCAGCUUCCGGCACCUUUUGCCACUCCGGCAGAACACUCCAAACGACACAGCUUUGCGAUCUCCCCAGCAUGCAGAGUCUGAUGUCGAGGCCUUCCCUAUAGAUGGUAUGCUUUUAAAAUUGUUUUAAAGCUGAAUCAUAGUGUCAUUGUGCACUUAUCUUCAAAACACCAGUUUAUACUCCUGAAUGUCAUCUUGUUGUGAUUUGUUUUUCUGUAGAUUCCAGAGACUCUGUGAAGCCACUAUUACAAGGCAAGUUCGAACAUCUUGGAAUUUCAGAUUUUACAUGGUAUAAAUGGUAAAUGACCUAUAUUUGUACAGCGCUUUAACUAGUCCCUAAGGACCCCAAAGCGCUUUACACAUUCAGUCAUCCACCCGUUCACACACACAUCGAUGGCAAGCUACAUAUACAAAUAUCAUAUAUAUGACAGGCAAAAACUAGCACUUUUAGCAGUUAAAACAACUUAUACUUGAAUGCAGAGUGUUACACCAUCACUUAUGGAUAUAUUAGUUUUUCGCCUCUCACUGCUUAAGCCAUUAAUCUUUCUGGAAUUGUUCUUUGAAACAGAUGCAACCUCACAAAAGAUGUUAACGAUGCUGUCAGACCUGACCAGAGCAGUUAACGAACUCCGUGAGGAGGUCAGAGCCAUCCGCAACACCGGCUCCAAUGAAUCGGUAGAUGCUGGGGUACACCCUUUGGAUUUGCCCUUGCACAACAUUGAGGAGCUAAACAAUGCAGAGGCAGCUCUUCAAUCGCAAGAGGCAAAUAAGGCAAUGGUGAGACGCUUUGCCUUGAUUGGAGGGACCACACUGGAGGUGCGAGUCCACCGUGUAAUGGCUUAUGCCAUCAGAAACGAGCUGGCCUCAGUACUAAACUGGGCAGGGAAAAAAACAAAGGACCAGACGAAGCAAAAAAGGGCAUUUAAAGAUACAGCGCUGUGCAGAUGCAUAUUUGGUAAGUUUUACCGUUUAUUGUAGUUUUAUGAGCCUAAAGUGAACAAUAAAGGGAUCGAUUGAUCUGCUGGGUGUGUUUCACAUGUCCUACGUCCAGUUUUUGCUAUAUUACUUUGUAUUUUUUAAUAACAAGACUUUCAUGUCUGGUUGAUCUGGAGAUGGAGUCUUUGGUCUUUGGCUUGUUUAGUCCUCGGGUUGUAGUUUGUACAGCCCAAGGACCCCAUGUUUAUUUUGUUUUAAAGGAUGCACGGCACACCAUGCUAAGACUUAUCAUUUUUUCCACUCAUAGCUCUUUGGGAAUCAAAUGCGGCAGUUUGCAUAUUUACGCCUGGUGACUUUCAUGUUUAUCAGCCUAGGAGUUUAUAUACUUUCUCCCUGCUGAAGACAGAUAACAAGAGCUUAUUCAUGUGCUCUAAUUCACUUUUUUUGUUUGUGUGUGUGUGUGUGUGUGUGUGUAUUUUUGUCCUAGAUGGCCUGACGCAGCAGUUAGGGGCAAACUCUAUGUCAGAGUUUGUCUUUGUACAGGCAGUGCAGAAAUGGCUCCAAUACACCCCAGAUCGUUUGGGUGGCGCAGGACGCACAUCAUCCGUCCCCAUCCCGGAGUAAAAACUACAAAGUUAUGUUAAAAUAUAAAUGUAAAUAGAAAACUGUGUUUUAAUAAAGUAUUUAGCAAACGAAACAUGUCUAUUGACCUUUUUUUGUUUAGUUUU